CGACCGGCGCACGGGUGAGUAACACGUAUGCAACCUGGCCGUGACAGAUGGAUAACCGGGAGAAAUCCCGCCUAAUACAGCAUGACGCCGGGAAGGGACAUCCCUUUCCGGCCAAAGGGGGCGACUCCGGUCACGGAUGGGCAUGCGGCGCAUUAGGUAGUUGGUGGGGCAACGGCCCACCAAGCCGACGAUGCAUAGGGGUUCUGAGAGGAAGGUCCCCCACAUUGGAACUGAGACACGGUCCAAACUCCUACGGAAGGCAGCAG
rnacentral:rRNA from 1 species